rnacentral:rRNA from 1 species
GACGAACCGUGCAAACGUUAUUCGGAAUCACUGGGCAUAAAGGGCGCGUAGGCGGCUCCAAAAGUCAGGGGUGAAAUCCGGCAGCUUAACUGUCGCAGUGCCUUUGAUACUGUGGAGCUAGAGGGAGGUAGGGGUCUGUGGAACUUCCGGUGGAGCGGUGAAAUGCGUUGAUAUCGGAAGGAACGCCGGUGGCGAAAGCGACGGACUGGAUCUCUUCUGACGCUGAGGCGCGAAAGCCAGGGGGAGCAAACGGG